rnacentral:rRNA from 1 species
AGAUUGAACGCUGGCGGCAUGCCUAACACAUGCAAGUCGAACGGGAGUAGCAAUACUCUAGUGGCGGACGGGUGAGGAAUACGUAGGAAUUUGCCCUUAAGUGGGGGAUAACCCGGGGAAACCCGGAUUAAUACCGCAUGACCUCGAAAGAGCAAAGUGGGGGAUCGCAAGACCUCACGCUUUUGGAGAAGCCUACGUCGGAUUAGCUAGUUGGUGAGGUAAUGGCUCACCAAGGCGACGAUCCGUAACUGGUCUGAGAGGAUGAUCAGUCACACCGGAACUGAGACACGGUCCGGACUCCUACGGGGAGCAGCAGGUGGGGAAUA